UAAAUUUGAAAGCAGAAAUCAGCUUUCUGCAGAUGUGUGUCUAAUUCAGUUCUUGUUUCUGUAACCUAGUUUGAAGGAAGAAAGACUUCCAAAAGAAUCAACCAAGUCUACUGAGGCACAGUUUGACUCAAAAGGAUCCAACUGCUUAGCAAAUGGAAAAUAACACUGUGGAGCAUUGACUGCAUUUGAAUACACCAGAAACUAAAAUACCACACUAUCCAGUUCAAUACAGGACACCUGGCAACCCCAUUUCAGACAACCAGAUACAAGCCAACCAAAGCUGCCUUCAAAGGGAAGACACCUAGGGAGGGAAGAUGAUGCUGAUUAAGAAAUAGCCUUGA
rnacentral:lncRNA from 1 species